UGGGGAAUCUUGCGCAAUGGGCGAAAGCCUGACGCAGCCAUGCCGCGUGAAUGAUGAAGGUCUUAGGAUUGUAAAAUUCUUUCACCGGGGACGAUAAUGACGGUACCCGGAGAAGAAGCCCCGGCUAACUUCGUGCCAGCAGCCGCGGUAAUACGAAGGGGGCUAGCGUUGCUCGGAAUUACUGGGCGUAAAGGGAGCGUAGGCGGACAUUUAAGUCAGGGGUGAAAUCCCGGGGCUCAACCUCGGAACUGCCUUUGAUACUGGGUGUCUUGAGUGUGAUAGAGGUAUGUGGAACUCCGAGUGUAGAGGUGAAAUUCGUAGAUAUUCGGAAGAACACCAGUGGCGAAGGCGACAUACUGGAUCAUUACUGACGCUGAGGCUCGAAAAGCGUGGGGAGCAAACAGGAUUAGAUACCCUGUAGUCCACGCCGUAAACGAUGAUUGCUAGUUGUCGGGGUGUUUACACCUCGGUGACGCAGCUAACGCAUUAAGCAAUCCGCCUGGGGAGUACGGUCGCAAGAUUAAAACUCAAAGGAAUUGACGGGGUCAUAGCUGUUUCCU
rnacentral:rRNA from 1 species